rnacentral:rRNA from 1 species
UACGUAGGGUGCAAGCGUUAUCCGGAAUUAUUGGGCGUAAAGAGCUCGUAGGCGGUUUGUCGCGUCUGCCGUGAAAACCCGAGGCUCAACCUCGGGCCUGCAGUGGGUACGGGCAGACUAGAGUGCGGUAGGGGAGAUUGGAAUUCCUGGUGUAGCGGUGGAAUGCGCAGAUAUCAGGAGGAACACCGGUGGCGAAGGCGGCUCACUGGCUCGUAUCUGACGCUCAGGCGCGAAAGCGUGGGGAUCAAACAGG